ensembl:lincRNA 4930509G22Rik RIKEN cDNA 4930509G22 gene
ACCUGGGUGCUGUACCGGAUAGGUGCAUUUGCUGAAGAACUGUUUUAGGCUCCUGCCUCCCAAGGGCUGGCAUUAAAAGUUCAUCACUAUCCCAGUCUUUAUUCUGUUUUCCAUCCUCUGGUACCUUACAGAGGCCCGGAACACACAGUGUUUUAUGAUCUCUAUGAGAUUGAGGCCAGCCUGGUCUAUGUAGAGUUCUAGCCAGGGCAAUGGAGUGAGACCCAGUAUCAAAACAACAUAAACUGUCCACAUGCUGACUUGCCUUAACAUCAAUUUAUACCUGAAACUAAAUGCAAGCUAACCAUUAGUCAGUUCAUUAGAAAUAGGGUCAAUUUACACAAAGGACAGGGGAGAAUAUUCAGGAGUCAAUGGGACAGAUUUUAUAUUUGAUUCAUCAGUUUAUCCAGUAAUUAUAUGCCCCCAAACAGGUGAUGGGAUAGAAAGCCUUGCAUGUGCUAGACAAGCUCCCUGCCACUGAGCUAUAGCCACAGACCUUUUAAAGCUUAUUUUUAUUUUUUAAAUAUUUUUUAAAAACUUUUAUGUGCAUUGGUGUUUUAUCUACAUAUAUAUCUGUAUUUAUGUGUCAGACCACAGGGCGUCAGAUCUCUUAGAACUGGAGUUGCAGCUACUUGUGGGUGCUGAGAAUUGAACCAGGUUCCCCUAGAAGAGCACCCAUUGCUCUUAACCUCUGAGCAAUCUCUCCAGCCCCAAAAUUUAUUUUUAUUAAUGUGCAUGUGUGUGUGUGUAGGCAUACAAGCCCCAUGAAGCUGGAGAGGUGCCAAGAUACCCCCAAGACUACUCGAACAGGCUUACCUGCCUUUUCAAGUUUCUGUCUUUCAAGACACAAGCAGCCAAACGCCACCCUGCAAGGGAAAAAAAAAGCCCAACAUCAAGCCAUACAAUCCCACCAAUCCCUCAGCUUGCCCCAAGAUCAGGUCACAAAAUCCCACCAAUCUGACACCACCUCGUAAGUCUUCACCCACUCCCCCCAAGAAACCCUAUAUACAGCCUGCCUCCUGCUCAGUCCUGUGCUGGGUCCCACUAGAAACCCUAUAUACAGCCUGCCUCCUGCUCAGUCCUGUGCUGGGUCUCACUAGAGCAAGGGCUGUCACCCUCUUCUGUUUUUCCCAUGUGAGGUUUCUUGUACAGUGUGACUUUGUGGUAUUUCUUGGCUCCUUACUGCCAGGAUACCUUUCCCCUUAGAGCUCUUUCAUUUACAUAUGCAUACACAUGAACCGAAUCGGGAACAGAGUGUGGGUUUCCCCACUAAGUUCUAUCAUUUGGAGGCCCCAGCGAGAUCUGCGUGACACCCAGGAACCCUGAAAGACCCCUUGGAGUUCUGGUAUUCUGUAUUCUGGCAGCUGCCACUUUGGACCGUGAGGACCUAGUGGCUGCAGGAGGAAGACGUUCUAAGGCCCCACAGGCUGCAACUCUGGAAGACGUUCCAAGGGUGACCCUGGAGGAAGUGCCCAGGGUCUGGUUUUGCUCUCAAGGGGUUGACUGAUUAUCUUGGUUUGGCCCCAAGAGACUUUUCACUCCUGCUGGUCGGGUGAAGGAUUUCCAGCAGUCUAUGUCCCUGUACAAAGACCAGCAUCUGGCAGUCAUGGGGCCAAAACAGUUGAAAAUGAUAUCCAUGCAAAUUCAACAAGACCUCUGAUUGGACACUGAAGCCUGAAACCUGCUUGCUCAGGGUGGAGCUUCCUGCUCAUUCGUUCUGCCACGCCCACUGCUGGAACCUGCGGAGCCACACACGUGCACCUUNNNNNNNNNNNNNNNNNNNNNNNNNNNNNNNNNNNNNNNNNNNNNNNNNNNNNNNNNNNNNNNNNNNNCCUAGCCCCUCUUCUCUUCCAGGUUUCCAAAAUGCCUUUCCAGGCUAGAACCCAGGUUGUGGUCUGCUGGCCGGACACAACAAUAAAACAGUUAUGAUAGAUUAAAAACUUUCCCAACAAUAAAAUUUCAUAUGGCUACACCUGUGUUAUCAGAGGUGGGUUUUGGUAUAUGGUAAAGAAAGUCUUAAUUAGAAAGAAUUAGUUUAAAUUUAUGCAUUGAAGAUUUAUAAAAAAUCAGGCACUAGAUGUUGAAUAAUUGACCAUAUGGGGCUGGAGAGCUAGCUCAGUGAUUAAGAGCACUAUCAUAAAGAUUAACCUGCUCUUGCAAAUAUGCCAGUAGCCUUGAAUGACUGCCUCACUGAAUACAUCCUUUUAGAAUUGUUAUAUUUUGAUGAUUUAUAUUAAUAAUGAUGUUACCUGUUCUGUAUGUGAUUCACUGAAUACAUAGUUUCAGAGUUGUAAUGCUUGGAUGAUUUUUGUUGGUAUUUGUGAUUGAUUCACUGGAUACAGUUUCUAAGAGAUGCAAUGUUUGGAUUUUAAUGUAUAAAAUCCCCUGCUUGAGAGCUCCAAAAUACAGUCGGAUUCAAAUUGC